ACAAAGGUUUGGUCCCGGCCUUCUUAUUGGUUACUAGGAAACUUAUACAUGCAAGUAUCCGCCCGCCAGUGAAUACGCCUUCUAAAUCAUCGCUGAUCAAAGAGAGCUGGCAUCAAGCACACACUCCAAGUGUAGCUCAUGACGUCUCGCCUAGCCACACCCCCACGGGAAACAGCAGUAGUAAAUAUUUAGCAAUUAACAAAAGUUAGACUAAGUUAUCCUAAUAAAGGACUGGUCAAUUUCGUGCCAGCAACCGCGGCCAUACGAUUAGUCCAAAUUAAUAAGCAUACGGCGUAAAGUGUAUUAGAAGAAUUAAAAAAAAAUAAAGUUAAAUCUUAUACUAGCUGUUUAAAGCUCAAGAUAAGACAUAAAUAGCCUACGAAAGUGACUUUAAUAAUCCUAAACAUACGAUAGCUAGGGUACAAACUGAGAUUAGAUACCUCACUAUGCCUAGCCCUAAACUUUGAUAGCUACCUUUACAAAGCUAUCCGCCAGAGAACUACUAGCCAGAGCUUAAAACUUAAAGGACUUGGCGGUGCUUUAUAUCCACCUAGGGGAGCCUGUCUCGUAACCGAUGAACCCCGAUACACCUUACCGUCACUUGCUAAUUCAGUCCAUAUACCACCAUCUUCAGCAAACCCCUAUAGGGCACAAAAGUGAGCUUAAUCAUAACCCAUGAAAAAGUUAGGCCGAGGUGUCGCCUACGUGACGGUCAAAGAUGGGCUACAUUUUCUAUUAUAGAACAGACAAACGGAUAUCACUCUGAAAUGGGUGAUUGAAGGCGGAUUUAGUAGUAAACUAAGAAUAGAGAGCUUAAUUGAACAAGGCCAUGAAGCGCGUACACACCGCCCGUCACUCUCCUCAAGUACUUCCACAUCAAACAAUCAUAUUACAGAUUUAAACAAAUACAAGAGGAGACAAGUCGUAACAAGGUAAGCGUACUGGAAAGUGUGCUUGGGAAACU
rnacentral:ncRNA from 1 species